rnacentral:rRNA from 1 species
GACGAACGCUGGCGGCGUGCUUAACACAUGCAAGUCGAACGGUGAAGCUCCAGCUUGCUGGAGUGGAUCAGUGGCGAACGGGUGAGUAACACGUGAGCAACCUGCCCCUGACUCUGGAAUAAGCGCUGGAAACGGCGUCUAAUACUGGAUACGAGAAGGGUCCGCAUGGGGACUUUCUGGAAAGUUUUGCGGUUGGGGAUGGGCUCGCGGCCUAUCAGCUUGUUGGUGAGGUAAUGGCUCACCAAGGCGAUGACGGGUAGCCGGCCUGAGAGGGCGACCGGCCACACUGGGACUGAGACACGGCCCAGACUCCUACGGGAGGCAGCAGUGGGGAAUAUUGCACAAUGGGCGGAAGCCUGAUGCAGCGACGCCGCGUGAGGGAUGACGGCCUUCGGGUUGUAAACCUCUUUCAGCAGGGAAGAAGCGAAAGUGACGGUACCUGCAGAAGAAGCACCGGCUAACUACGUG